rnacentral:sRNA from 1 species
AAAUGAAAAGAAUUUUGAUAAUGUGGAUAAAGAUCCACUCGAUAUAUUAUGUUUAGCAGAAAAAGAGGCAAAAUCGUGGAAAUUAGCUCAAGUUGAGCUACAUAAUGAAAACUUGGUUUCUUUUUUGGAAACACGAACUUGUGUGAGAGAUAUCUCAGAGGAUAAUAUGUAUGCAUGACUUUGUUGUUUUGUAGACGGAUCCUGGAAAGAGAGUGAUAAGUUUUCAGGAUUAGGAUGAUUUUGUACUUCAUUAAAUGAAGAAACAUCAAGCAUGGGCGCUGCUAAUCUCCGUAGAAGUCUCUUCCCACUCCAUACAGAAGUCGAAGCUCUUCUUUAGGCAAUGAAGUAUAUGAUUGGUUCAGAUAACCAAGAUGUAGCGUUCUUUACAGACAUGGUGAAGAUGGUGUCUUUUCCAACCGAAUGACCAGCAUUUUCAGGAUAUUUAGAGGAAUUUCAGAGCGACAAGGAUGAGUUUCAAAUUUCUCUUUAACUUUAAUUUCUCGAUGCACAAAUGUAAAAGCGGAUAAUUUGGCACGAAAAGUACGUUCCGAACCACAUCACAUCACCUAUGUAAACAACAUUCCCCAAGAAUCGCUCUUUUGAGCUCUAAUUAAGAGUAGACGGCAAAAAAAUAAACAAAUUUGUUCAAUUACCUUUU